UGACCUAGUCAACAUGGAAAAACACCUGCUUCUCAUUUUAAUUCUGACUUCAGGUGUGAUGACUGCAGACCAGAUUAGACCAAAAGAAACUAGUGUCAUAAAGAAGGAAGAUGAGAUUGUAUCCCUCAGCUGCUCAUAUGAUACAAGCAGCAGAUAUGUUACACUUUACUGGUACAGACAGAAUCCUAAUGAAGAGCUUAGCUAUUUAAUAUACAAGGCUGCACGGUCAAGUAGUGGAGGUGGGAGCCCUGCUGAUCCUCGCUUUCAGUCGACUACAUCAGAUACAUCCACUGAACUCACUAUUACUGGUGUAACUCUGUCAGAUUCAGCUCUCUAUUAUUGUGCUCUAAGAGUUGGAGCCCAGUGA